rnacentral:rRNA from 1 species
CCCAGACUCCUACGGGAGGCAGCAGUGGGGAAUAUUGCACAAUGGGGGGAACCCUGAUGCAGCAACGCCGCGUGGGUGAAGAAGUACUCCGGUAUGUAAAGCCCUGUCAGCAGGGAAGAAAAUGACGGUACCUGACCAAGAAGCCCCGGCUAACUACGUGCCAGCAGCCGCGGUAAUACGUAGGGGGCAAGCGUUAUCCGGAUUUACUGGGUGUAAAGGGAGCGUAGACGGCAAGGCAAGUCUGGAGUGAAAGCCCGUGGCCCAACCACGGGACUGCUUUGGAACUGCAUGGCUGGAGUGCGGGAGGGGCAGGCGGAAUUCCUGGUGUAGCGGUGAAAUGCGUAGAUAUCAGGAGGAACACCGGCGGCGAAGGCGGCCUGCUGGACCGCGACUGACGUUGAGGCUCGAAAGCGUGGGGAGCGAACAGGAUUAGAUACCCCAGUACAA